GUACAAGUGGCGCAAUCGGUCAGCGCACUGUACUUACACUGCAGUAUGAGUGAAGCAAUGCUGAGGUUGUGCGUUCAAGCCUCACUUGGAGCA